rnacentral:rRNA from 1 species
GACUUUCAGAAUCAUGGUGCUAGUAGGUUUGCUAGCACAAGUGUAGUGAAGCAAUCUUCAGGUGGUCUGUUUAGCUGGCUUCUUGGCGGAGGCUCAAGCCAACUACCCCCUCUUGAUGUUCCGCUCCCAGGCAUUACAAUUCCUCCACCCCUACCAGAUUUUGUUGAGCAAUCCAAGACAAAAAUCACUACUCUUCCAAAUGGCAUCAAGAUUGCAUCAGAGACAUCACCGGGCGCGGCUGCAUCAGUGGGUUUGUACAUUGACUGUGGUUCUAUUUAUGAAACACCUGGUUCAUCUGGAGCAUCGCAUCUAUUAGAGAGAAUGGCCUUCAGGAGCACAGCAAAUCGGAGUCACUUGCGGCUAGUUCGUGAGGUGGAAGCCAUCGGAGGAAAUGUCUCUGCAUCUGCUUCUCGUGAACAAAUGAGCUAUACCUAUGACGCACUGAAGAGUUAUGCACCAGAGAUGGUUGAAGUUCUCGUUGACAGUGUGAGGAAUCCAGCAUUCUUAGAGUGGGAGGUCAAAGAGCAGCUCCAGAAGAUAAAGUCUGAAAUAUCUGAAGUGUCUAGUAAUCCACAAGGUCUGCUUUUGGAGGCACUUCAUUCGGCUGGGUAUUCUGGGGCACUGGCGAAACCUCUGAUGGCUACAGAAUCUGCUAUAAGGAGAUUGGAUAUUAGUACCCUGGAGGAAUUCAUUCAUGAAAAUUACACUGCUCCCAGGAUGGUUCUUGCAGCAUCAGGACUUGAACAUGAUGAGUUGGUUUCGAUUGUGGAACCACUGCUCUCAGACCUUCCUGGUGUGAAACGUCAUGAAGAGCCAAAAUCGGUGUAUGUGGGAGGGGACUAUCGUUGCCAAGCAGAUUCUCCAAAUACGCACAUUGCACUUGCUUUUGAGGUGCCAGGUGGCUGGCGCCAAGAGAAAACUGCAAUGAUUGUGACUGUGCUUCAGAUGCUCAUGGGAGGAGGGGGGUCUUUCUCUGUUGGUGGCCCUGGGAAGGGAGUGCAUUCUCGAUUGUAUCUCCGUGUCUUGAACAAGUAUGACCAGAUCGAGUCAUUCUCUGCUUUCAACAGUAUCUACAAUGAUUCAGGUCUUUUCGGAAUUCAUGCAGCCACUAGCCCAGAUUUUGCAUCAACGGCUGUGGAUUUGGCAGCAGGGGAACUCCUUGAAGUUGCAACCCCUGGAAAAGUUACUCAAGAUCAGCUUGAUCGUGCUAAAGAGGCUACCAAGGCUGCAGUUCUGAUGAAUUUGGAAUCAAGAAUUGUGGCAUCUGAAGAUAUUGGAAGACAGGUUCUGACUUAUGGGCAAAGGAAGCCCGUUGAGUACUUUGUGAGAGCUGUUGAGGCGACCACCCUGAACGACAUCUCUACGGUUGCACAGAAGAUAAUCUCUUCACCGCUUACAUUGGCAUCAUGGGGCGAUGUUAUCCACGUCCCGAGCUACGAGUCCGUCAGCCGGAAGUUCCUCUCCAAGUGAUGGUUCAUCGGUCGGCACCUGGACAGACCUGUGGAGUUCGUUCCGAAGUUUCAAGCCUUAGCCCUGCACCGGCCCUCGGCUGGAAUAAAACCAGUGAUGCUAUAUUUUUGUUGACUAGUUAUUACAGCGAUGGAUAAUCAUAAGGUUUCUGUCAUCUGGUGUGUGCUCUACCGUGCAGCUACACUAGGGUCGUCCCUAAAUCAGGCGACGUCGGGUGGUGUUUUAGUUGAGAGACCUGUACCACUCUGCUUAGGGAGUAACGUAAUACCGUUUUCAAGUCCACUUGAGAUUUCUUGCUGGAGAAUCCAGCUUUGGGCGUUUAGAAGACAAUACGGUGACGAGCUCUGAAGAAGAGUUUGUUAUCCACUAGCUGACGAAUGUGUGCGUUUGCGGCUGUGAUCCGCUCGGUCGGGUUCCUUUCCUGCGGCGCAA